AUGUCCCCGAGGUGUCCCCUAGUUGCGGUCCAUGGUGGCCAGGAUCCAGGAGGUGAAGCUGCAGACCCUGGUGUAGACCCCGGGGUGGCCGGGCAGGGCGCAGGUCUGCAGCCCCCAGGACACGAUGCCCUGCAGGGUCCCAUUGCAGGACAGGGGACCCCCGGAGUCACCCUGGGGACACACAGGGGUCAUUCAGAGGUCACUCAGGGGUCAGAGAUCACUCAAAGGUCACUCGGGUCACUCAGGGGUCACUCAGUGUCACUCAGUGUCACUCAGAGGUCACUCAGGGGUCACUCAGGGACACUCAGAGGUCACUCAGGGGUCACUCAGUGUCACUCGGGGGUCACUCGGGGGUCAGGGGUCACUCUGGGGUCACUCAGGGUCACUCAGGGUCACUCAGGUCACUCGGAGGUCGCUCAGGGUCACUCAGGGGUCAUUCAGUGUCAUUCAGGGGUCACUCAGGGUCACUCGGCGGUCACUCAGGGGUCACUCAGUGUCACUCAGGGGUCACUCAGGGGUCACUCGGGUCACUCGGAGGUCACUCAGGGGUCACUCAGGGGUCACUCAGGGUCACUCAGGGGUCACUCAGGGGUCACUCAGGGUCACUCAGGGUCACUCAGGGGUCACUCAGGGGUCACUCAGGGGUCACUCAGUGUCACUCGGGGGUCACUCAGGGGUCAAGAGUGGUGGAUUUUGGGCAGUUUUUGGGCAGGUUUGGGGCAGAUUUUGGGUGAAUUUGGGGCAGAUUUUG
rnacentral:lncRNA from 1 species